GUGAGGAAUAUUGGACAAUGGGCGCAAGCCUGAUCCAGCCAUGCCGCGUGCAGGAAGACGCAUCUAUGGUGUGUAAACUGCUUUUGUACGGGAAGAAACACUCCCUCGUGAGGGAGCUUGACGGUACCGUAAGAAUAAGGAUCGGCUAACUCCGUGCCAGCAGCCGCGGUAAUACGGAGGAUCCAAGUGUUAUCCGGAAUCAUUGGGUUUAAAGGGUCCGUAGGCGGUUUAAUAAGUCAGUGGUGAAAGCCCAUCGCUCAACGAUGGAACGGCCAUUGAUACUGUUAGACUUGAAUUACAAGGAAGUAACUAGAAUAUGUAGUGUAGCGGUGAAAUGCUUAGAUAUUACAUGGAAUACCAAUUGCGAAGGCAGGUUACUACUUGUGGAUUGACGCUGAUGGACGAAAGCGUGGGGAGCGAACAGGAUUAGAUACCCUAGUAGUCC
rnacentral:rRNA from 1 species